AAGCCAUGUACAGUAGAAGACAUUUUCACAUAAAAAAGGGAAUAUACAAAAUAAUGUAAAAAAAGGCAUCAGUGGCACAUGACUGUAAAGAAAGGCAUCAGUGGCACAUGACUGUAAAGAAAGGUAUCAGUGGCACAUGACUGUAAAGAAAGGCAUCAGUGGCACAUGACUGUAAAGAAAGGCAUCAGUGGCACAUGACUGUAAAGAAAGGCAUCAGUGGCACAUGACUGUAAAGAAAGGCAUCAGUGGCACAUGACUGUAAAGAAAGGCAUCAGUGGCACAUGACUGUAAAGAAAGGCAUCAGUGGCACAUGACUGUAAAGAAAGGCAUCAGUGGCACAUGACUGUAAAGAAAGGCAUCAGUGGCACAUGACUGUAAAGAAAGGCAUCAGUGGCACAUGACUGUAAAGAAAGGCAUCAGUGGCACAUGACUGUAAAGAAAGGCAUCAGUGGCACAUGACUGUAAAGAAAGGCAUCAGUGGCACAUGACUGUAAAGAAAGGCAUCAGUGGCACAUGACUGUAAAGAAAGGCAUCAGUGGCACAUGACUGUAAAGAAAGGCAUCAGUGGCACAUGACUGUAAAGAAAGGCAUCAGUGGCACAUGACUGUAAAGAAAGGCAUCAGUGGCACAUGACUGUAAAGAAAGGCAUCAGUGGCACAUGACUGUAAAGAAAGGCAUCAGUGGCACAUGACUGUAAAGAAAGGCAUCAGUGGCACAUGACUGUAAAGAAAGGCAUCAGUGGCACAUGACUGUAAAGAAAGGCAUCAGUGGCACAUGACUGUAAAGAAAGCCAACAAUCUGUCUCAAUGGGUGACAGUCUGUGGUAGGCCAACCAUGACGGAAGGAAAUCAGACUGGUGUACAUG